UGUCUCUGAACCGGACCCUGGACUCACUAUGGAACCUGAGGACAAGUCUUUGGACCCGAGGAAGACCAGCCAGAGAAGAUUUGAUGGGGAGGGAUUCUGCAGACCGUAGGAAGACUGUCUGGACUGUGAAUGACAGUCAUGCAGUAUGAAUAUAUCCCUGUGUACAUAACUGUGUGUGUGUGUGUGUGUGUGUGUGUGUGUGUGUGUGUGUGUGUGUGUGUGUGUGUGUGUGUGUGUGUGUGUGUGUGUGUGUCCUAUUCCUGAACAGCCCUAAAGUCCUGCAACAUUGUCUUGCUGAUAUUCGGACUGCUGAGUAUUCUCUUAAUCUCCCUGCAGUUCAGUUCAGUGAUGCUCACGGAGGAGGAGGAGGAGGCCCCCAGCAUCACAGAGUUCCACUCCUCU